rnacentral:rRNA from 1 species
UUAUUGGGUUUAAGGGUGCGUAGGCGGAAUAAUAAGUCAGUUGUGAAAGUUUGCGGCUCAACCGUAAAAUUGCAGUUGAUACUGUUAUUCUUGAGUGUACAUAAGGUAGGCGGAAUUCGUGGUGUAGCGGUGAAAUGCUUAGAUAUCACGAAGAACUCCAAUUGCGAAGGCAGCUUACCGGGGUACAACUGACGCUGAGGCACGAAAGUGUGGGUAUCAAACAGGAUUAGAUACCCUGGUAGUCCACACAGUAAACGAUGAAUACUCGCUGUUUGCGAUAUACCGCAAGCGGCCAAGCGAAAGCAUUAAGUAUUCCACCUGGGGAGUACGCCGGCAACGGUGAAACUCAAAGGAAUUGACGGGGGCCCGCACAAGCGGAGGAACAUGUGGUUUAAUUCGAUGAUACGCGAGGAACCUUACCCAGGCUUAAAUUGCAGAUGAAUAUUUAGGAAACUAGAUAGCCUUCGGGCAUCUGUGAAGGUGCUGCAUGGUUGUCGUCAGCUCGUGCCGUGAGGUGUCGGCUUAAGUGCCAUAACGAGCGCAACCCUUAUUGAUAGUUACUAACAGGUUAAGCUGAGGACUCUAUCGAGACUGCCGUCGUAAGAUGCGAGGAAGGUGGGGAUGACGUCAAAUCAGCACGGCCCUUACGUCUGGGGCUACACACGUGUUACAAUGGGGGGUACAGAAGGUCGCUACCUGGCAACAGGAUGCUAAUCCCAAAAGCCUCUCUCAGUUCGGAUUGGAGUCUGCAACCCGACUCCAUGAAGCUGGAUUCGCUAGUAAUCGCGCAUCAGCCACGGCGCGGUGAAUACGUUCCCGGGCCUUGUACACACCGCCCGUCAAGCCAUGGGAGCCGGGGGUACCUGAAGUACGUAACCGCAAGGAGCGUC